rnacentral:rRNA from 1 species
AAUUUGAGACAAUGGGGGAAACCCUGAUCCAGCCAUCCCGCGUGUAUGAGGAAGGCCUUCGGGUUNUAAAGUACUUUUGGCAGCGANGACAAGGUAUCUCCUAAUACGAGAUACUGCUGACGGUAUCUGCAGAAUAAGCACCGGCUAACUCCGUGCCAGCAGCCGCGGUAAUACGUAGGGUGCAAGCGUUAAUCGGAAUUACUGGGCGUAAAGCGUGUGUAGGCGGUUCGGAAAGAAAGAGGUGUAAACCCAGGGCUCAACCUUGGAACUGCAUUGUUAGCUGCCGGUCUAGAGUAUGUCAGAGGGGGGUAGAAUACCACGUGUAGCAGUGAAAUGCGUAGAUAUGUGGAGGAAUACCGAUGGCGAAGGCAGCCCCCUGGGAUAAUACUGACGCUCAGACACGAAAGCGUGGGGAGCAAACAGG